GAGUAUAGAUCCUCAGGCCGGUCCAGUGUGUGUGCUGAAGGCAGUAUACUGUAGAUCCUCAGGCAGGUCCAGUGUGUGUGCUGAAGGGACUCACAGAUCCUCAGACCGGUCCAGUGUGUGUGCUGAAGCGAAUAUAGAUCCUCAGACCGGUCCAGUAUGUGUGCUGAAGGGACUCACAGAUCCUCAGACCGGUCCAGUGUGUGUGCUGAAGCGAAUAUAGAUCCUCAGACCGGUCCAGUGUGUGUGAUGAAGCGAAUAUAGAUCCUCAGACCGGUCCAGUGUGUGUGCUGAAGGGAGGCCAGAGCCUCCAUCCCCUUAAAGACCCUGUAGAGGU
ensembl:lncRNA